GGGAAUAUGGCUUAGUGGUAGAGUGCUUGUCUUGCAUGCAUGAGGCUCUGGGUUCGAUUCCUCAGCACCA
rnacentral:tRNA from 1 species